AUUGAACGCUGGCGGCAUGCUUUACACAUGCAAGUCGAACGGCAGCGCGGGCUUCGGCCUGGCGGCGAGUGGCGAACGGGUGAGUAUGCAUUGGAACGUGCCCAGUAGUGGGGGAUAGCCCGGCGAAAGCCGGAUUAAUACCGCAUACGACCUGAGGGUGAAAGCGGGGGACCGAAAGGCCUCGCGCUAUUGGAGCGGCCGAUGUCGGAUUAGCUAGUUGGUGGGGUAAAGGCUUACCAAGGCGACGAUCCGUAGCUGGUCUGAGAGGACGACCAGCCACACUGGGACUGAGACACGGCCCAGACUCCUACGGGAGGCAGCAGUGGGGAAUUUUGGACAAUGGGGGCAACCCUGAUCCAGCCAUGCCGCGUGCGGGAAGAAGGCCUUCGGGUUGUAAACCGCUUUUGUUCGGGAAGAAAUCCUCUGGGCUAAUACCCCGGGGGGAUGACGGUACCGGAAGAAUAAGCACCGGCUAACUACGUG
rnacentral:rRNA from 1 species